AACGAACGCUGGCGGCAUGCCUAACACAUGCAAGUCGAACGAGACCUUCGGGUCUAGUGGCGCACGGGUGCGUAACGCGUGGGAACCUGCCCUUAGGUUCGGAAUAACUCCCCGAAAGGGGUGCUAAUACCGGAUAAUGUCUUCGGACCAAAGAUUUAUCGCCUUUGGAUGGGCCCGCGUUGGAUUAGCUAGUUGGUAGGGUAAAAGCCUAUCAAGGCGACGAUCCAUAGCUGGUCUGAGAGGAUGAUCAGCCACACUGGGACUGAGACACGGCCCAGACUCCUACGGGAGGCAGCAGUGGGGAAUUUUGGACAAUGGGCGAAAGCCUGAUCCAGCAAUGCCGCGUGAGUGAUGAAGGCCUUAGGGUUGUAAAGCUCUUUUACCCGGGAUGAUAAUGACAGUACCGGGAGAAUAAGCUCCGGCUAACUCCGUG
rnacentral:rRNA from 1 species